ACGGAAGGCAGCAGUAGGGAAUAUUGCACAAUGGGGGAAACCCUGAUGCAGCAACGCCACGUGUGGGAAGACGCAUUUCGGUGUGUAAACCACUGUCGUGAGGGAAUAAGGACGCUUCUCGGAGCGUUUGAAUGUACCUCGAAAGGAAGCACCGGCAAACUUCGUGCCAGCAGCCGCGGUAAUACGAGGGGUGCAAGCGUUGUUCGGAAUCACUGGGCGUAAAGGGAGCGUAGGCGGAGACGCAAGCAGUCUGUACAAUACCGGGGCCCAACCCCGGACCUGCAGACUGGACUGUGUCUCUUGGAUAGUUCAGGGGCAGGCGGAAUUCCUGGUGUAGCGGUGGAAUGCGUAGAGAUCAGGAAGAACACCGAUGGCGAAGGCAGCCUGCUGGGGACUCAUCGACGCUGAGGCUCGAAAGUGCGGGUAGCAAACAGGAUUAGAUACCCUGGUA
rnacentral:rRNA from 1 species